UGGGGAAUUUUGGACAAUGGGGGAAACCCUGAUCCAGCCAUCCCGCGUGUGCGAUGAAGGCCUUCGGGUUGUAAAGCACUUUUGGCAGGAAAGAAACGUCGCGGGUUAAUACCCCGCGGAACUGACGGUACCUGCAGAAUAAGCACCGGCUAACUACGUGCCAGCAGCCGCGGUAAUACGUAGGGUGCAAGCGUUAAUCGGAAUUACUGGGCGUAAAGCGUGCGCAGGCGGUUCGGAAAGAAAGAUGUGAAAUCCCAGAGCUUAACUUUGGAACUGCAUUUUUAAACUACCGGGCUAGAGUGUGUCAGAGGGAGGUGGAAUUCCGCGUGUAGCAGUGAAAUGCGUAGAUAUGCGGAGGAACACCGAUGGCGAAGGCAGCCUCCUGGGAUAACACUGACGCUCAUGCACGAAAAGCGUGGGGAGCAAAACAGGAUUAGAUACCCUGGUAGUCCACGCCCUAAAACGAUGUCAACUAGUUGUUGGGGAUUCAUUUCCUUAGUAAACGUAGCUAAACGCGUGAAGUUGACCGCCUGGGGGAGUACGGUCGCAAGAUUAAAAACUCAAAAGGAAUUGACGGGGUCAUAGCUG
rnacentral:rRNA from 1 species